UCUUAGGCUUUCCAAACCAAUUUGACGGCUUAAAAGUAGCCAACCGCCUCAAUAAAUCCCCUCUUUCCCAUGGCCUGCAUGAAGGCCUUGAUGAUCCAAGAACAGAACCACCAGCACUGGUGCUCAAGGAGGUCCUUGGUAAUUGUGAGCCAGCAACAGACAGAGAGGCUGCUUUGGAAGUAUGCCAUUUGCUGGGACAGUAGGGGAGGAUGCCCCAGCAGAACUAGCAGCAGGAGUGGGAUCCAUGGUACCUCCGGAGCUGAUAACUUCUUCCCUCAUUGGGCUUCUUCCAAGGGAAAACUUUGAUUUUUGGGGGUGUUUUCCCC
rnacentral:misc_RNA from 1 species